GUCCCAGUUCGGACUGUAGUCUGCAACCCGACUACACGAAGCUGGAAUCGCUAGUAAUCGCGGAUCAGAAUGCCGCGGUGAAUACGUUCCCGGGUCUUGUACACACCGCCCGUCACACCAUGGGAGCCGGGGGGCGCCUGAAGUCCGGGACCGCGAGGACCGGCCUAAGGCGAAACUGGUGACUGGGGCUAAGUCGUAACAAGGUAGC
rnacentral:rRNA from 1 species